UGACUCGAUAGCUCAGUCGGUAGAGCAUGACAGUCUUAAUCUCAGGGUUGUGGGUUCAAGCCCCACAUUGGGCAA